AGUGAACGCUGGCGGUAGGCCUAACACAUGCAAGUCGAACGGCAGCACAGUAAGAGCUUGCUCUUACGGGUGGCGAGUGGCGGACGGGUGAGGAAUACAUCGGAAUCUACUUUUUCGUGGGGGAUAACGUAGGGAAACUUACGCUAAUACCGCAUACGACCUACGGGUGAAAGCAGGGGAUCUUCGGACCUUGCGCGAUUGAAUGAGCCGAUGUCGGAUUAGCUAGUUGGCGGGGUAAAGGCCCACCAAGGCGACGAUCCGUAGCUGGUCUGAGAGGAUGAUCAGCCACACUGGCACUGAGACACGGGCCAGACUCCUACGGGAGGCAGCAGUGGGGAAUAUUGGACAAUGGGCGCAAGCCUGAUCCAGCCAUACCGCGUGGGUGAAGAAGGCCUUCGGGUUGUAAAGCCCUUUUGUUGGGAAAGAAAAGCAGCAGGUUAAUACCCCGCUGUUCUGACGGUACCCAAAGAAUAAGCACCGGCUAACUUCGU
rnacentral:rRNA from 1 species